AACCCUCAAGCUCAGCUUGGUAUUGAGUCCAUGUCAGCAAUGGCAGACUCUAAAAUCAGUGGCGGCGCCGUUGGGUCCUGAACGUAGUAAUAUCUCUCGUUACAGGUUCUCGAUGUGCUUCUGUCAAAACCUAAAUUUUCUAUGGUU
rnacentral:rRNA from 1 species